rnacentral:rRNA from 1 species
UNUGACUUGAGUGCAGAAGGGGAGAGUGGAAUUCCAUGUGUAGCGGUGAAAUGCGUAGAUAUAUGGAGGANCACCAGUGGCGAAAGCGGCUCUCUGGUCUGUCACUGACGCUGAGGCUCGAAAGCGUGGGUAGCGAACAGGAUUAGAUACCCUGGUAGUNCACGCCGUAAACGAUGAGUGCUAGGUGUUAGGCCCUUUCCGGGGCUUAGUGCCGGAGCUAACGCAAUAAGCACUCCGCCUGGGGAGUACGACCGCAAGGUUGAAACUCAGAGGAAUUGACGGGGGCCCGCACAAGCGGUGGAGCAUGUGGUUUAAUUCGAAGCAACGCGAAGAACCUUACCAGGUCUUGACAUCCCGAUGCUAUUCUUAGAGAUAGGAAGUUACUUCGGUACAUCGGAGACAGGUGGUGCAUGGUUGUCGUCAGCUCGUGUCGUGAGAUGUUGGGUUAAGUCCCGCAACGAGCGCAACCCUUAUUGUUAGUUGCCAUCAUUAAGUUGGGCACUCUAGCGAGACUGCCGGUAAUAAACCGGAGGAAGGUGGGGAUGACGUCAAAUCAUCAUGCCCCUUAUGACCUGGGCUACACACGUGCUACAAUGGUCGGUACAACGAGUUGCGAGCCGGUGACGGCAAGCUAAUCUCUGAAAGCCGUUCUCAGUUCGGAUUGGAGGCUGCAACUCGCCUCCAUGAAGUCGGAAUCGCUAGUAAUCGCGGAUCAGCACGCCGCGGUGAAUACGUUCCCGGGCCUUGUACACACCGCCCGUCACACCACGAGAGUUUGUAACACCCGAAGUCGGUGAGGUAACCUUUUAGGGGCCA